rnacentral:rRNA from 1 species
AUUGAACGCUGGCGGCAGGCCUAACACAUGCAAGUCGAGCGGAAGAAGGGAGCUUGCUUCUGGAUUCAGCGGCGGACGGGUGAGUAAUGCGUAGGAAUCUGCCUGGUAGUGGGGGCUAACGUCCGGAAACGGGCGCUAAUACCGCAUACGUUCUGAGGGAGAAAGGGGGGGAGCUUCGGGCCUUACGCUAUCAGAUGAGCCUAGGUCGGAUUGGCUAGUUGGUGGGGUAAAGGCCUACCCGGGCGACGAUCCGUAACGGGACUGAGAGGAUGAUCAGGCACACUCGCACUGAGACACGGUCCAGGCUCCUACGGGAGGCCGCAGUGGGGAAUAUUGGACAAUGGGCGUAAGCGUGAUCCAGCCAUGCCGCGUGUGUGAAGAAGGUCUUCGGCUUCUAAAGCACUUUUCGUUGGGAGCACGAGCAGUCAGUUAAUAUCUUGCUGUUUUGACGUUACCAACAGAAUAAGCACCGGCUAACUUCGUG